rnacentral:lncRNA from 1 species
GCAGAGCCCCAGCAAGGACGAUGGCCUGGUGGUUGUAGGUACGGAUGUUGCGGUGGCUGGUUUUUUGGACGGUGCAACUACUGUUGUCGUAGUCCACAAGCCGAGGAGACCGUGGAAACUGAAGCUGUUGAGGCCAACGUUGUUGAACCUCAGCAGGGGGGUCGUGGUGGCUGUAGAUACGGAUGUUGCGGAUCCUGGCGUUACGGACGGUGCAGCUACUGUUGUCGCAGUCCACAAGCCGAGGAAACCGUGGAAACCGAAGCUGUUGAUGCCAACGUUGUCGAACCUCAGCAGGGGGGUCGUGGUGGCUGUAGAUACGGAUGUUGCGGAUCCUGGCGUUAUGGACGGUGCACCUACUGUUGUCGCAGUCCACAAGCCGAGACCGUGGAAACCGAAGCUGUUGAUGCCAACGUUGUAGAACCUCAACAGGGGGGUCGUGGUGGCUGUAGAUACGGAUGUUGCGGAUCCUGGCGUUAUGGACGGUGCAGCUACUGUUGUCGCAAUCCACAAACCGAGACCGUGGAAACCGAAGCUGUUGAUGCCAACGUUGUUGAACCUCAGCAGGGGGGUCGUGGUGGCUGUAGAUACGGAUGUUGCGGAUCCUGGCGUUAUGGACGGUGCAGCUACUGUUGCCGAGGUGCUCAAGCGGAGUCUGAAGGGCAGAAAAAGGAAGAAGCUAAGCCAUGAAUGGUGUGUAAAACAAAC